CCAAUGGCCUGGCCAAGAAUGUUGAUGUCACAAGGAAAGGGAACAGAGUUUGAUUGUGUGUCACAUAGAACUGGGAACAGACUGCUGUACUUAGAGGGACGUCCUUAUCAAUUAGGUAAUGUCUGCUAAUGAUUGAGGAGCUGUGUUAGGCAGUGCUCCAGCUGUUGAUAUGUUAGCAAACAUCUGCAAAGGGCACUCGUACCUUGUGGGAAAAACUUUUCUUAGUCUGGAUCCCACUGGUCCAAGCCCUGAAAGACUGGCAGACCCAACAGCAUCUCACAGGGCAUCUGAAACAGAGGAACAUGGCAGAAAUGUGGACUGGGCACAGGAGGCAGCUCUGCUUGGGAUGUUGGUUCCAUCUCCAGGAGAUCAACAGCGCUAUGGGAAGAGGAAGGUGUGGCCAAGGCUCUGACAUUGCUGUGGUCUUCCAGAGAAUGGGCCAUCAGCAACAUCAUCACCACUUGCCUCCGUCUGGAGGUACUAGCAGGUCCUUUGUAGUUUGAAAAUGUCCGACAGAGCAUUACAACUAAAUCUUAAGAGGACCAUCAUACAGCGAGAGACAUUUUCUUCCUGUGCAUCCAAGCAAGAAGGCCUGUUUCACAGUCUUUUAAGCUGAUUCCUGAGUCUCCUACACACGCCUGAAUCAGAUGUAUCUUGAUACAACCAACGAUCAAAAUAAUGGAAUUUCAGCCUGGAUGGGUUACACUAGCAACACCAGGGAGACAGAAGUGUCAGGAAAACAAAGACAGGAAAGCAGAUACUCAUGGAGGUGCUAGCUUUGUGCCAGGUCUUGUUCUGGGUGUUGAGGAUACCAAGGGAAGUGAACCACACCUGAGGCAUAAGGUAUGAAGGUGUGAAGGUAUUCUUGAUUUUCUUCCAGAAGCUUUAUUGCAUUAUUUUAAAAGUCAAGUCACUUUUGGUGCCACAUCGUGCUAUUCAAACAUAAGAAAUCUUUAGUAAAAGUGAACAGGACACAAAAUGGGAAGGAGGAGGCAAUGGAGCUGGGAGCUGAGGCCAGCAGAAGCAAAGUGGAUGCCCAACGCAGGCAAUCCAGGUCUCUUGAGUGCAGGGAAAUCUCCUCUCUGCUUGUAACCUCGAGGCUGCUCCUCUCCAUUAGAGCCAGGGAGGCCAGCUCUGCCUUUUAAAAAGGGGACCUGCAAAUGGAAUUCACACAAUGCCACGACCCUCGAUGUGCAGUGUGGCAGGCUACGGCCCAAUUCGCAUCCAAGUGCACACCACACAUUCACAGCUGAGAGCUCACCUCUCCUGCCCUGUCACACCAGCACUUCCCAGCAGUUCUGCAGCUGCUCUCCCUGACAAUGUUUUGAUAUGUUGGGCUGAGCCUCUCCAAGGGCACCAGCUCACUUUUGGUUCCUGAACACACUUAUUUGGUGUUUUCAAGAAGGUCAGUUUCAAUUCUCUGUGACUUUGGCUUCACCCCUUCUCACCUCUGAAGAUUGAAACAGGAGGGGGCUGGUACUUACUGUACAGCUGUGACCCCCCCAUUCCCUUGAGUCUACAUGCUGGCCUUUUGUAUCUAAAGCCCAUUCAGAGUAAGAUGAGAGAAGCACAUGCCCUAGAAACUUGAUCACUCCCAGCCCUGCUCAAACCCCCUUCAUAGUGAAUCUGCCCACCCCCAGCCCUUUACUGCCUGGGCCAUGGUUUGGCCCUGCGAUACCUGAACCACAGCUGAUUGGGUCAAUGCAAGUCACAUUACCCAGAGUCCUGUCAUCCAGGAGCAGCAGCAGAAGCUGGCCAACAUUCUUCCAGGGGUCCCAGGAAAAGCUAAGAUCUUCCUAUGAUCAGAUUCUUUCUCUUGAGAAUUUGAACUAAAUCCCAUGGGAAGAAUUUGCAAAUAUGCAAUCAGAGGUGAAGCAAGAGGAGCAAGAAAAAGGUUAGGAGGCUGCAAAGAGCCACAUGUAAGCCUAAGUGACAGAGGAGCAGAACCCGGAGCAGACAGAGAAAGCCACUGGCAGAGAACGGAGCACAGACCAGUUGUGCUGAGAAAGCCAGAGGUACCAGGAGAAGACACCAGUCCUAGACGUGCCUCUGUUCCUGAUUCUACAAACAGCUUCCUGCCCAGGAGUCUAUCAACCUACUAUCAACCCCUGUAGCUAUGAAAUCUCUUGAUGAAGUAUCCUGUGAGGGUUUCUGUUUGCAUUACCAAACAAGUUUGACCAAAACAGUGAGAGGAAGAGAGGAGGUGAGAGAGUGAGGCAAAGGAAAAUAAAUCAAAGUAAAGUAAAGAAGGUG
rnacentral:lncRNA from 1 species